rnacentral:lncRNA from 1 species
GUUUGAUGAUAUUUAUGAAUACCAUUUUCUAUAAAAAAUACAAAUACUCCAGUGGCUUUAAAGUAUUUUUCUAAGGAUGAAAAAUUUUAAAUGUCUUCAAUUUAAAAAAAAAGUUUCACGUGGUCCUUUAAUAUGAUUUAAACAAAAUACCCUCUUGCCCCUCUGCCCAACAGAACAAUACUUGAUACUCUGAACUUUUGUUUUAAAUUAAAGUUUAGCUGAUUUACAGUGUUGUGUCAAUUUCUGCUGUACACAUUCUUUUUCUCAUAAUUCAUCAUGUUCUAUCCUCAGAAGAUACAUGCACCUCUAUGUUCACUGCAGCACUAGUCAUAAUAGCUAAGACAUGGAAAUAACCUAAAUGUCCAUCAACAGAUGAAAAGAUUAAGAAGAUGAGGUACAUAUAUACAAUGGAAUACUAUUCAGCCAUGAAAAGAACAAAAUAAUGCCAUUUUCAGCAACAUGGAUGCAACUAGAGAUUCACAUACUAAGUGAAGUCAGAAAGACAAAUACCAUAUGAUACCACUUACAGAUGAAAACUAAAAUAUGGUAGAAACAGAUUCACAGACACAGAGAGCAGACUUUUGCCAAGGGGGAGUGGAAAGGAAGUGGGAUGGUCAGGGAGUUUGGGGUUAAUGGAUGCAAACUAUUAUAUUUAGAACUACUGUUUUCUAUUGGUGAGAAGAGAAAAUCCUGACUCGGCCAAAAAAAAGCUUUCAUAGCUUAAAGACUGUGCUACUUAAUUAAAUCAGGCAUCCUAAAUGGAAAAGAUUUUCUAAUCUAUACUUGCAAACAUGCUGCUCUUUGGCAGCAUGCUUUUGAAAUUUUUCCUAAAAUAAUCACAUUGUGCUGGAUAAUUUUAAGCUGUGGCUAAGGGAAGUUUUCUGCUAUAGCUGACCCCCCCUGCUCUAGAGAGGGUUCCCGGGCGACCACUGUUCCUAUGUGCCUAUCCUACUAUGACUCAUGAGGGGCCAAGCUGCUUGCACUGAAAUUACAGGGGAGGUUUAAAACAUACAGAUUCUCAGGACUCAUCCUGGGUAACUUAGUCCAGAAACAGAGGCCUGUAAUGCCACGCUGUGGGGUUAGAAUUUUAUUUAGACAGCAACGCGGCUGCACCACAAACUUUGAGGCAGAGCAAGGCAUCACAGGAUUUACAUUAAAAUGAAAUAUGAAAGAUGGAUUAGAGGGUGAGCCAAACCCGAGAAGAGGAGAACAUUUAGGAAAGUCUAUAGGGAUCCAGAGUCAGUGAUUAGGGCCAGAAAAACUAAGUGGGAGGAAGGCAGUGUACAGAUUCAGGACAUUUUUUAGGAGGCAGAACUAAAGGAACAUGGUGAAUAAUUACAAGUGGUAGGUGUUGAAAAAACAGAAGGAGCUGACAAUGCCAUCCAUGCUCUGGCUUGGGUUACUG